UGUCCUUCUUCAUCCAUGUGGU
rnacentral:siRNA from 1 species